UUAAUAACAGGUGUCAAAAUGUUUAAUUUUGUGUCAGAUAUAAUACAUUGAGAAAGGAAAUGGGGAAUGUGUCAAAGCGACAACAACCCGGCCACAGAGCAGACAACAGCCGAAGGCAACCAACGGGUCUCCAAUGCGGCGAGAAACUCCCGCACCCGUAUGUGAUCUUCAGCUGGCCCUUAAAAAUAUGUAUACUAGUACAGUGAUAAUGGACGUCAUACUAAACUCCGAAAUAUACACAAGAAAUUAAACUACAAUUUAAAAUCAUACAAGACUAACAAAGGCCAGAGGCUUCUGACUUGGGACAGGCGCAAAAUUGCGGCGGGGUUAAACAUAUUUAUGAGAUCUCAACCCUCCCCCUAUACCUCUAGCCAAUGUAGAAAAGUAAACGCAUAACAAUACGCACAUUAAAAUUCAGUUCAAGAGAUGUCCGAGUCCGAUGUCAGAAGAUGUAACAAAAGAAAAUAAAUAAAGGACAAUAACAACAGACUACUAGCAGUUAACUGACAUGCCAGCUCCAGACCUUCAAAUAAAUUGAUUGAAAGAUUAUGCCUUCAUCAUAUUAAUAUCAGGUACAAUCCCUCCCGUUAGGGGUUUAGUAUCAUACUAUCAUAAAAUAUAUGAGAAGAACAUGCAUACCCGUGUCAUGCCAACAACUGUUUUUCAAAUAAAUGUGUUUAGUUCCGAUGUAAACAUAUUAAUACAUAUGAGGAUCCAUGAUAUUGAGUAGGGGAGGGGGUAUUUGGAGACUGGCAACCCAGUGUAUGCAUCUAUCGAAGCUAUGAAGAUCCACAAGAAUUAGGCCCAGACCCUUUGCCCCUUUCCCCUUCCCCCACUUUCUUAAUCCGUCUCUGUAAUACAUUCUUUCACCGUUUGUGUAUAAAAUAUAUUGUGUUUACAUAUUCAUUAAGAGUAUCAUUAACUUAUUCAUUACUACAACACAAGGUCACUCAACUGGGUGUUUGUUUUCAAGUAUGUCAUCCGCCAAGUGACAAAUGGUUCAGCCUUGACACUGAUUUUCUGUGGACCAAUACUUAGCUGAUUACAUUUGCAUUCUGUAUACCUUGUUAUACUCAAUAGAAAGCGGAGUUGAACCUAACAAGUACUUUUGAAGUUGACCUUAAAUAUUUCAACCAUCAUUUGUUAACUCUAUUAUAUUUAUUACCACAUGUAAGUAAUUUGCAAUACUAUACAAUAUUAUAUAUGCGGAGUCAUCAAUCUUAUCAAAAUUCAGAUCUAUCUUAAUUCGCGUGCUCGUAUAUUCAUGCAUGUAUAAGGUAUAUAAUGGUGACGAAAUAAGAUCUCUAUAUUUUAAUUAGAUUGGCGAAGUUAUUUGUUAGAUGUGUUUAGAACAAGGAAAUGUACAAGUAAAAUGAUACCAAAAUUCAUCAUAUAUCUUAAUCAAAAUUGUGUACGCCAGUCUACAUAAGGCCAAAUAAAAAUGUAUGUGUGGUUCCAGUUACAUCUGAAAAAAAGUUAGGGGAUUUGGUAGGUAGGGAUUUUUUUUUUUUUUUUUUUAUUUUAUGGGGUUUUUUUUACAUUGAGUCUAUGGGAGCAACAUUCUGACUUUAACAGUGCUUAAUGAAAAAUGACAAUAAAAUCUUUAGGGUAGGCUAUUUUUAAGCCGAAAAAGUAGGGACGGUAGGGUUACUGGAACUACACAUAUAUUUUUAUUUGGCCUAAGACUCAUCAGGGAUGCUCGAAUGAAAGCCAAAGAGUCCAGAUUAAAAUUGUGUACGCCAGUCUACAUAAGACUCAUCAUGGAUGCUCGAAUCAAAGCCAAAAAGUCCAGAUUAAAAUUGUGUACGCCAGUCUUCAAAAGACUCACCAGGGAAGCUCGAAUCAAAGCCAAAAAGCCCAGAUUAAAAUUUUGUACGCCAGUCUUCAAAAAUCUCUUCAGGGAAGCUCGAAUCAAAGCCAAAAAGCCCAGAUUAAAAUUUUGUACGCCAGUCUACAAAAGACUCAUCAGGGAAGUUCGAAUCAAAGCCAAACAAGCCCAAAAUAAAGUACGAAGUUGUCGAGCAUUGAGGACCUAAAUGAUGCCAAAAUGAAUUAUUUAUCCUCUAACUUUUUAAGAGUAUUCCAAUUUUCUUCAAGACGAAUUCAAUUAUUCUUCAGGAAGGUGUAACACGCAAUUGUGAAGUGGGAUGAAGGGGCCACGAAAUAAUAAAAAAAAGUAACAUAAAGGGUAUAACAUGGAAGAGGGAUCUGGGUAAAGGGUAUAACAUGAGGGAUCUGGGUAUCUAUUGUAGGUUUCUAUUCCAAACAUAUAAUUCAACUAUAAAUGUACCACUCGACGUUAUAACUAGAUGUUGUGAUGUGAAUUAAUUAUUUUGUCACCCUGCCAAAUUUAUAUACAAAUAUGCAUUACACAUUUAUCAAUGUCAAAUUAUGAAAAUUAUCGUCAUUUGAAUUAUACACUGUCUCAGAUUGCUUUAUAUCUCCAAUUACUAGUAUACAGUUAUGCAUAUACAAAAAAUAACAGCAUACAUGCAAGUUAUAAAAAAUGACUUACCUUUUGAAAUUUAAACUUCACUCUACAGAUUUAGUGUUGAAAUUAUUUAUUUAACAUCCAUUAACAAUAAGAAAUCCACUGAAGCGUGUAUUUAAAUAUAUAAACAAGGUACGGCGUGGUUGUGCCUAUUCAACUGCAAAACAUAAACACCAGUGAAAACGACAUAAUCUCACUUGUAAUCGAAAUGUACAAGGAUGACAACAAUGUGAAUCACUUUUUACGCGUUUCUUAAGAUCGUGACAAAACAUUUAAAUUGGUCGUUGAUUAUGAUUCUAAAUAAACUCAAAAAUAGCUUAAAAAAACAGGAUCGGCACAGUAAUUGGAAUUUC
rnacentral:lncRNA from 1 species